ensembl:lncRNA
CUCCGGGGGCGGGCUGUGGCCCGGCUCGGGGAGCGGAGCCUGCCGGUACUCGUGCGGCCCUGCGGGGCUGUCCGUCUCCGGGUCGCUCCUUUGCAGCUCUUCCCGCUUCGGCUUUUCCUUCGUGUUCGCGCAGCGCUCUGUUGGCGGGGCUGACGGACAAAGGGCGGUGUGGGAGCGGGGUUGUCGGGCUGAGCCUGGCGGGGCAGCUGCCUGAUGUGCGCCCGUCUGACUCCUGUGCCGGGGAGAGCUGUGGAGAAAGGCGAGGCUUUGUGCUUUGGAGCCCCGUCCUGCGGCCUCGCUGGGCUGUGAGGGGCCCGUCCUGUGCUGGGGAGGGCGUGGGAGAGCACAGGGAGACCAGCGGCAGGGAGAGCUGCAGGUUGGCAUAACGGCCCUGCGGGUUUAACUGAAACGAGGGGUGAAACGCCACUCUUAGUUCUUCAGUGAAGUGCUACAGCACAUAACGUUGGAUUUCUUUCAUAUAGCUUGUUAUAAGAACAUACGUUGUAUAAUCAAUGAGUAUAUAGACGUAAAAUCAGUGACAAUACAGAGAAGAAUACUGGGCUUACCAAAAAAAAGACUCCACGAGGAGCCAUCUCCAGGGAGAGACCCCUCCCCAGCGGCAGUCAGCCCUGGAAUGGGCUCUAGCAGAGGUGCAGCCUGGCUGCAGCCCUUCCACUCACACAGCUCAACUGCCUUCACCUGUGCUCCCACGGCUGACUCAGCGCUCGCCUCAGGUGGUCAAUCAGAGGUUCAGGCCGUGAUUCAACAGUUCCUGUACAUACAUCCACUGAAAAACGUGGAGUUUAUGCAGAUAAAAGCCACAUGCGUUGUGGUAACUGCCUUUUUACUUGUGUAUCUACAGGGAGCAGCACGCCAGCACUGUUUCCUAGAACCUGUCGCUUACUGUGCAGGUGAGCUCAGUGUAACUGCGUCUGUAGUUUCUCAUAAUCGGUUGUGACUGUGGCCCUUUAGAUGUGCUCUCCAAAAGAAGCACUGCUAGAAGUGUGAUGGCUUCCAAAUGUGGAAGCAUUUCUGCAGGUGUCCUGCUCUUGUCUUUUAACAAGUCUGUUCAACAGUAGGCCUAAGUUCCCUUCUGCUACCAAAAUCCAGGAAUGAAACUUGACGACGUGAAUGACAGAUUAGGAAGCAGAUAUUACUUUAUUGCAGUGCUUGGUGCGUGAGGGAUUGCUCCUCACCAUCUGAAAGCACACAGAUUUUGUAUGCUUUAAUACACAAAUAUUCAUAGGGUUUCCUCAGAGUGCCCACCUAGUCCCAGAAUUGCUAUACAUAUUAAAAUCUGGUACUAUGCAUAAACCCAUGUUAGUGUGGUUUUUUUGCAAGGGGGCCUGUGGUGGUUGUGAGGUUCCACUGGGAGGUGCUAUCCAGGUGAAGGGUUGUCUGUUAUGUAGGCCAGGUCCUGUACUUGGUCAAGAACCUAUUUACAAAACCAUGACCGUUGACUUAGUUUCUAAUGAGCACAUCAAUCUUGUUACAGUGCUUGUAUCAUCAGCCCUACAGUGUACCUCCUCAAGGCUGGUGAAAUGCUGAGGCUCUACUUUUAGGCUCCAGAAGUCCUGCUUAUCUAGGACAGAGUCUUCUCUAGACAAAAUACCAGUCGGCUGAAGAGUUUGAACUCAUUGCUAAAGGCUCUGAACUUAUUGCCAGGUAUGAAUAUGAGGAUUUAUAGGGUUUUUGCAAGAUGGGAUCCCACAAAGAUCGCAAGCUAUCAUUUGUGACUGCAGCGAGACUGUACUGCUGCAGUGGUAUUCUUUGAGGGGAACCUGAAAUCUGCUGAUAGAAAUGGUUUCUCUGCCACUAGUUUUCAUUAAAGCCAAAUGUAUCUGUGAAGUUAAUUCAUUAUCUCAUAGUAAAGAACAGCUCACACACGUAAGCUGAAUUUGUUUUGUGAAAUGCACAGAUUAUUUUGCUUACAGGGUUUUAAAAUAUACUGUCUCCAGGCUGAACAAAUGCCUAGUUUCACUGGGCCCAGGUGAGAACAUCUGAUUAGGAGUUCUCAUCUAAAUAAGGUAUGAAAUUCCCAGCCAGCUCUCCAGUGAGGGCUGAAUACAUGUGAAGAGAGCAGCAAAAUGUGUGUACCUCCAUCGAAUCUCUGUAGGUAAGCAUUAUCUUGACACUUUCAGCUGGUUUUCAGAGGUGUAUUAAGAACAGCUUAAAGAUACAAAGCACAUUUUCACAUUCUUGUUUGAAAGAUGGACACAGAAGUAUUAUGCAGGUGGUACUUGAACCACAUCCCUUGGCUUCUAACCUUCACUGUCUUUUUGGUCGAGCCUCAGUUAUAAUUUUACUAAGAAAUAUAUUGAAUAUGCUCAAAUUGAUGUUAACUUCCAUUGUCACCAAAGGAGGGCAUUUAAAACCGUGAAUACUAUCACAGGAAGACUGAGCUGUUGAUUUGUAACGGUGAUUUUGCUUUAAUAUGCACUUCUGCCACGUUGAAGUUCUCUAAGUUUAAUCGCUGUGUGAUAAGAAGAGGCAGCUUGUAGACAGGAUAUUAAACCUUGAUUUCUAUCAUACCAAACAAUUGCUGUAUCUUCACCACUUCUUAAAACUGACAUCCUUUCCUUUCAGGUUGACGUGUCCUACUGUAUUAUUUAAGACUUGAUUAUUGCAGUUGAAAUUGGGUUGUUUUUUUUUAGUGCAAAACUAUGUACUUUAAUGGCUGUAUUUCAUCCAUCUUCACUGUGAAUCUGAAUCUAACUUGAUGUCUCACAAACUGCCCAGUUGAUGCUUUCCUGGCCAGGUUUCCAUGUGAACAGGGUGAGCACACAGCUAUGUAGUGUGUCACCAAUCCAAUUGCAGGCAGCACAGUGCUUGGGAAAAGCUUUACCUGGUGUUCAUCAUGAGUAGGAGUCGUCCCCACCUGUGAAGCCUGGGUUCCUGAUGGAGAAGUUGCUGAUCCUCCUCACCUGUGUCAUCUGAGUGGUUUAGAGGAAUCAUGCCAUCGGACACAGAUCAGUAAUGCUUGUUGCUUGAUCCAACUGCUGUAUAGCUGAUGAAUUCAUGGAUUUAAGACAAAUAAUCCGUAUUUCAUUACUAGCAAGUGCUAGAAAUAAAAAUGUACUCUGCACUAUUGCUUGGAAAAACAAAUCCUGAAGUCGUAAGAGAGGAUUAAAGUUGGAAAAAAAUCUCUCAAGAGAAAAACGAAGGGAGUAAUGACAUCUGCUUAGCAGCAUCCAGCCCCUCAGCCUGCAGCACGGACCUCUGGAGCCCUUACACACGGAAUAAAAGGGGAUGCAGUGAGUGAGGAGCAGCAGAACUGCAAGCAGAGCAGCGCUACUGGUGGUGGUGUUCUACCAUGGCAGUAAACAAAGCCAUCGGUUGCAGACUUCUGCACCAAUUCAGGUGGCUCCAUUGAAGGUGUAAGAUUGGAGGUGUGAGGUUUCUCAGCAGUGGGACGUUACCACCUAGCUGUGAGCUGGCUUUGCUCUGGUGGGCGUCCUGCUGUUCCCCCACAGUGAGCUGUGUUCUGGUUCUGUUGGAAGGCUGCCCGGUCCUUCUGCCGGGUUUAUAUUCCACUUAAACGCGUGGCUAUUCAAGUGACCAACCUUUUGGAGUGUCUCGUUUGGCUUUGCCUUAAACGUUUGCUGCUCCUACCCCUUCCCCCCUUCCUACAGAGGCCUUUUUAUAGGUGGCCUGUAGUGCCAUAUAGUUUUUGCUUAGAGUUGAGCAUUUUCCUAAGCUUAUGGGGUUAACCACGAUUAUGGGAGAGUUCUUGAAGCAUUUUUGAAUGUAAUGCUUUUAUUUAAUGUUUGUAAGCAAGUUCAAAGGUGUCAGAUACAAAUGUCCCAGUAUGGCACAAGGACGAGACGUGGCAUUGGGGAUUGGGCUGUUCUGUUGCUAGUGCACACAAAUGUGGCAAUGAACUUUUUCCCUCGUGCUUUAGAGCAUUAAAACAGCUGUUUUGGAUCAGAGCAAAGUGGGCAGCAGCUGUGGCAGUGAUCUGCCUGUGAUUAGUGGGCUCAGGCACUCGUGGAGUCACAGAUGGGCUUUGUGCUCUUAAGGGCACUGUGCUUUUAGGGCUCCCGCUUUUGCACCAGUGUGCUUCUUAAAGUGCUAAAAGUUUUCCCAGCUGGAAGUCCUCACAGCAUCACACAGCAAAGAGCUCUGGGUAUCAGCAUCCACACAAAGGCACCGCGCAGUCCGCCUGUGUUCCAAUGGGCACAAACAGCACUGAUUGCGUAUUAAAGCCAUUGUCACCAUCACAACCUGGGAGGAGAGCAGAGUGCCAGGACGCUGCAGGACCCCGAAGAUUAUGUCUUAUAAAUAAACAGCUCAAAUUUGUCUGAAGCCUCAGCGUGCGAUGUAUGGAGCGUUGCAUUCUGACCGUGUUACGCCAAGAUUGCUGCUAAUGGCUUUUGGCAGCACAGCCACCAAGUCAGAAAGCUGAGAUGAUUGCAGAUUGUCUGCUUCCAUACACAUCAUACAGCUGCCUGGAAGACGGUGGAGGCAGCGCCUAAUUGAUGUUUGUUCUUGUCAAUGCGUGAUCGGGUUUUGAUGCAAGGUUCUCCUCUUUUGUGCUCUUCUGGUCAAAUUUUCGUUUAAAUUUGUAUUCUGUGCUGAACAGUAGUGCCAGCAGAACCAUAAGCGAGGAGUUUAAAUUUAGGAUGUGUUGCAGAAAUCCAAAAAUGCUUUACUGUUUGGGUAAAAACGUUUUUGUGUUUUUUUUUCCCCUUCAGCUGCUGCUCUGCAUGCCGUAAAACAGCAAUCCGAAGGGUUUGCUCUGAAAGCAUCUCUUUGUGCCCUGGGCCAGUGACCCCACUGCUGUGCCAGUAAAUCAUGGCAAGCUGGAGGAAUCUCCCUGAUUUCUGAGCUCCUAAUCCCGCAAAGCCUGUAAAUGAUGGCUGGCUUAGCUUUGUUUCUGAUAAAACGAGGCUUAUGAGAUGAUGACAUUUGCUGCCUGUUUCUCCUCCGCUCCGUUCCGUGUCACCACCCAAGAGAUCUCUGGAGCCCAUCAGUGCAAGGCUGUGUGCCUAGUGCUACAACACUACCGCGUGCUGGAGAGCAGGGAGGAGCCUGGGUGAAUGUAUGGGAAUGAAUUUGGCUGUGUUAGCACUCCGAUCCCCUUCUGCAUGAUGUGCUUCCCCUGUUCUGCAGUGUCUGAUGCAGGUAUUGGGUCAGCCCAGUGAUGUUUGCUUCCUGGAGAGCACGCAUGGAACCUGCUGAUGGAGUUUGUUAACAGCCCCGCUGUUCCUUAAGCCAAGCUGGGUUUUUGCUUUGAUAAAACCUCUGGGCAUGGUGUGUGGCUGUACAGAGUGUGAGAACUCAGGGAGGUUCUUUACUCUGAGAGUGGCGAGGUGCUGAACAGCUGCCCAGAGAGGCUGUGGAUGCCCCGUCCAUCCCUGGAGGUGUUCAAGGCCAGGUUGGAUGGGCCCUGGGCAGCCUGGGCUGGUAUGAAAUGUGGAGGUUGGUGGCCCUGCCUGUGGGGGGGGGGGGGGGUUGGAGCUUCAUGAGCCUUGGGGUCCCUUCCAACCCAACCAUUGUAUGGCUCUAUGAGAAGGCUGGGG